rnacentral:rRNA from 1 species
CCUACGGGAGGCAGCAGUAGGGAAUCUUCCGCAAUGGACGAAAGUCUGACGGAGCAACGCCGCGUGAGUGAUGACGGCCUUCGGGUUGUAAAGCUCUGUUAAUCGGGACGAAAGGCCUUCUUGCGAAUAGUGAGAAGGAUUGACGGUACCGGAAUAGAAAGCCACGGCUAACUACGUGCCAGCAGCCGCGGUAAUACGUAGGUGGCAAGCGUUGUCCGGAAUUAUUGGGCGUAAAGCGCGCGCAGGCGGAUAGGUCAGUCUGUCCUAAAAGUUCGGGGCUUAACCCCGUGAUGGGAUGGAAACUGCCGAUCUAGAGUAUCGGAGAGGAAAGUGGAAUUCCUAGUGUAGCGGUGAAAUGCGUAGAUAUUAGGAAGAACACCAGUGGCGAAGGCGACUUUCUGGACGAAAACUGACGCUGAGGCGCGAAAGCCAGGGGAGCGAACGGGAUUAGAUACCCCGGUAGUCCUGGCCGUAAACGAUGGGUAUUAGGUGUAGGAGGUAUCGACCCCUUCUGUGCCGGAGUUAACGCAAUAAGUACCCCGCCUGGGGAGUACGACCGCAAGGUUGAAACUCAAAGGAAUUGACGG